AACGAACGCUGGCGGCAGGCCUAACACAUGCAAGUCGAGCGCGCCUUCGGGUGAGCGGCGGACGGGUGAGUAACACGUGGGAAUAUGCCUUUCGGUGCAGAAUAGUCUUGGGAAACUGAGGGUAAUACCGCAUACGCCCCCUGGGGGAAAGAUUUAUCGCCGAAAGAUUAGCCCGCGUUGGAUUAGGUAGUUGGUGGGGUAAUGGCCUACCAAGCCGACGAUCCAUAGCUGGUUUGAGAGGAUGAUCAGCCACACUGGGACUGAGACACGGCCCAGACUCCUACGGGAGGCAGCAGUGGGGAAUCUUAGACAAUGGGGGCAACCCUGAUCUAGCCAUGCCGCGUGAGUGAUGAAGGCCUUAGGGUUGUAAAGCUCUUUCAGCUGGGAAGAUAAUGACGGUACCAGCAGAAGAAGCCCCGGCUAACUCCGUGCCAGCAGCCGCGGUAA
rnacentral:rRNA from 1 species